ACACAUAUAUAUAUAUAUACACACAUACAUACAUAUAUAUAGUUCUCUUGUCCUCCUGAUAUCUGUAGGUUUCAUCCUCUCACUUCCUUAGGCUUCUCCCCACAUGGCACCAUAUCAGAAAGGCCUUCCCUGACGACUUAAUGUAGAAAAACACCUCCAAGCACUGCCAGUCCUCCAUUUUAGUUUUCCUCUUUUCACUUAUCGAUGACAUAUUAGAUACUUACUCAUUUGUUUUUUAAUUUUAUCUCUCCCCAGAGUAGUAUGUCACCUCUAUAAGAGCAGACUUGGUUUUGUUUUCUGCUGUGUUCCCAGAACCUGGAGCACAGUAAGUGCUCAGUAAAUACUUGCUGGAUUUUAUGAAUAUGUGGCCCCUUUAUGAAAUGGCAAGGAAGAGCCUGCACUGAUGCUCCAGGUGAGUUGAGCCCUGGAUGGCUCACUGAUUAGCAUUUAUCUUAACCAAACCAGGGCAAUGAGGAGAAUUAGGUGGCUGCCUAGGGGCCAUUCACACACAUGCCUUUGGGACCAAUGCUUUUUCGUCUGCGGCAAUGGCGUCCUGCUUUCUUGCUUGCGCUUUGUACCAUGGUUGCAAUGCUAUCUAGAAUUCCCAUGGCAGCUUUACAAUAUGAUUAAUUUUGCUCAUAUAGAUACAUAUCGAUCACAGAAAAAGAUGACUCAAGGUUUAAAUUUAGCCCUACAAAUUGAAAGUCAGAGGUGUGCUACCUAAUUGCUCCCAGACUAUGAAAAAAAAGCACAGCGUCUGCCAGUACUGAAUCACUUUUCUCCACCCUUUUUCUCCCUUCCCUUCAUGCUCUCUGUCUUAAUUCUGUUCACGUCAUAAACCAUGGUAGCUUAAUAAAGUGAAAAAUAACAUUGGGAGUCCUGACACUACCACUUGUUCACUGUGAGAUCUCAAGCACGUUACUGCCCCUCCCUGAGCUUCAGUUUCCUUCUUGGUAAAGUAGGCCUACUUGAAAACAGGUGCUCAAUAACAUAUGUUGAGCGAAAGAAGCCUAAGUGAAACAGCAUGGGUAGAAUGUCUAGCCCAGGAUGAGCACUCAGUAGAUGCUAGUCACCUGCCAUGCUCAUUGAUGCACCCGACUGUGCUGUCUUCAUGAAAUUUAUUUGGCUUUGGUCAACCAUUAGGAUAGGUAACCCAGCUGAAAACAGAGGAUGGCUCACAACAAGGCCUUUCAUAAUCAGUCCCUCAUAAGGGCUUUUAUAGAGGCCCUACUAUGCGUCCAGUAAGAUGGAAGAUUCAAGGGGUGGAUGGGGCAUCAAGCCAGCGAGAGGCAUACUUUCUACUGCUAUUGUGUCCUGUAGCUGCUGUAACAAAUGACCACAAGCUUUGUAGCAUAAAGCAACAGAAAUGUAUUCUCUCAUGGUUUUAGAAGGUAAAGCAGUUGAAAUCAAGGUGUUGUCAGGGCCACGCUCUCUCUGAGGGCCCUUAGGAAGAACCCAUUCUCUGCCUUUUGCAGCUUCUGGUGACUUCUGGGGUUGCUUGGCUUGUGGAAGCACAGCUCCAUUCCCUGCCUCUGUUUUCACGUGGUCUUCCCUAUUGUUUGUCUGUGUCUCAAAUCUCCCUCUCUUUUCUCUCUAUACCCUACAUCUAGUAUUUCCCUCUUGGGUGAUCUCAGUCAAAUGGCUAUACUUUCUUUACCCUCAGUUUCACUAUUGAGAAUGGACUAGCUAUGUCUUCUUCACUAAGAUGGUGUGCAGGUAAAAUAGGACAAAGCUGGUCAAAAGCUCUCUGCAUUAUGGAAGAUAGUUGCCCAUAUAAUUCUCAAAUUCUAAUCUGUCUCAGGUAUGGACUGCUUCACUUUAUCUUCUUCCUUAUGUGACAUUUUGACAGAUGAAUGAGGAGGGAAGGAGCAGGAGCGGGGGCAGUGGAGUUUCUUUCUUUUUGUAAUGCUUUUUGUUUUGUUUCCAUUUCAAAAUGCCAGCCCCCUCUGAAGUGGCUCUCCUAUACCCUUCUCUGUCCCUGCUCUUUCUGCUCACUGCUGGCUAUCUCACCCAACCAGGCCUAAAGAGGCAGGGGAAGAAGGGCAGGAGUGAGGGCAUGAAAAGAGCUUUGAGGUGAAAAGAAGUCCCCUUGUCUUCUCUGGGCCUUAUUGAGGAUCCCUGCUGUCCCCAGCUGUGCACUGGGCAUUUGGGAUAGAGGUGGGGGGAUGUAGAUGGGAAACAUAGCGUUCACUCUCAGUGUACUGUCAAGUCUAUUGAGGCAAAACGAAAACAGCUUAAUAACAGAGCAAGGCCAGCUUAGAUCAAAGUCUUAGUGUCAGAAGCAAAUAGCCCCAAAGGAGGCUGGAAACAGAGAGACCACUUCACUGGGUAAAACACCAUAUUAGGUGAGCUCAGUGCUAGGCUCUCCCUUCUUUCCUCUCAUUUCAAAUUUUCGGCACUUUAUGCAAUAAAUAUCUUUAAGCACCUGUAGCAUAUCAGACCAUUAUUUUAUACACAUUGUUUAUUUGAUCCUUAAAACAAGACCAAAAGCUAAGUAUUAUAAUUACCAUCUUUUGGAGGAAGGGGACCAAGAUUUAUGGACUUGCUUAAAUUAAGAUCACACCAUUGUUAAAAGAAGGAAAUAGCUUUGAACCCACACCCAUCAAGCCCCACAGCUCCUGCUCUUUCCACUCUGCUAUACCGUUUGUUGAAAGUAUAUGGAAAGGAGCCACGCGCUUUAUCGGGCUGCAUCGCAUUGCAUGCGUUUUUAGUAUAUGUGUGCACAUGCCAAUUGGUAUGUGGGAAUCCUGCUGGGUGAGUUGUAAUGAGGGCGUUUUGAGUGGCUAGAUGCAUUUUUGCUGGCGAGGCCUGGCUCAAAGAGAAUAGGAAAGGAAGCAUACAAACCCACUGUGUGGGAGGCUAGUCACACAGUGUGAGGGCUGAUCCUUGAAGAAACUAUUGGGAAAUGGGUCUAUUAAGCCCUAGUGAAACUUUACUUUGCUGAGGGAGGGGCGUAGGGGGGGACUUGGUUUUUCCAUGACUAUUUGAUUUCCAAAGCAUAAUUCAUUCCCCAUUCUUUAAAAAAAAAAAAAAAGCAAUAUUUGUUUAGCACCCUGUGUGCCAGGCAUGGUGCUUGGUGCUUUAUAUCAGUGACAUCGUUUAAUUCUCACACACACUUACCCAUUAGUGCCACUGUUUAGCCCAGGAGACAGCUUCAGGAGGGCCAGAUGAUUUGCUCAGGAUUAUUUAGCUGGUGUAGAGCAAUGCAAGGUCCUGCCCUGUGCUGUCCAACAGCAGGCCACACUGGCAUUUUAAAGUUAUUGGUGGGACAUUCUGUCUUUUAAUAUAGUUGUAAAUUAUCUCUAAAUCAUGAAAUAGGAUGGCGGCAUACUGAUCCUGCCUCUCCUCUGUUACAAAAAAGAAAGGCAUUAUCUUUUCAUUCCUGAGUAACUAAGAUUCUUUGCCCCAGAGAUAAAAAUCUCCACUCCAGGUCACUCGGGUGUCAUUGUCCGGAGGGUACGAUUGCUACUCUUGCUCUCAUUUGGCCCUUUUUCUUCUUCUUUUGCUGAGGUACCUGGCCUCUUUCAAGACAUCUCUCUCUCCCCUAUACCCAUCACUAUAGUAUGAGGCUGCUGAGGUGGCACCAGCCACGAUAUGGAGGCAGGGACCUGUGGCCUGGAUGAGCGUGUAGUCAGACAGACCUGGUGUGUAUGGAGUCUAGAGGGCUGUCUGAGAUUUGAGAUAGGGUCUAACAGUCUCCCAAAGACCCCUGGUCCCUGCUCACCUACUGCCAUCACAGAAGGGAAAAGAUGUCCUCAGCGUCACUGGAGAGCAUUUGGCCUCUGAGGCAAGCAUUUGGGCCACCAGCCCCCUAUAAGAAUGGAUGGUGAUUAUGAAUGUCUGAAUGGAUUUACUAUUUGUCCUGGGUGGAGGAUUGACCCAACCUUUCAGAAGCAGAAUGAAUAACAAAGAGGAAGGUCUUUGCAACUCUAGGGUUUGUCCUUUCACAUCUCUUUUAAGACUUUUGAAAGCAGCAAGCAGUGGGAAGGGAGAUGAGUGGAAUGAGCAUUUGUUAAGGAGGAGAAACCCUGAGAUGCUUGGUUGUAUGACCUGGGGUUGGGAAGCCACUCCACUUCACAUCUCUGAGCCUCAAUUUUCUCUCCUGUCGUUUGGCAAAGGUAGUGCUUCCCUUCUCCUUCCCCUGCCCCAGAAGGCUGCUGUGAGAAUGAGAUGAGAAUAUGUUUAGGGUUUUGGAGCCGGGUCCCAACUCAGAGAAAGUGCUUAGGCCAAAGUCCAGAGGCCUGGAGUGUACUCCAGACUCUGCCCUGAACUCUGUAUCUCUUCUCUCUGGGGCUCCCUUUCUAUAAAAUGAGGGCAUUAGGGUAGCUUUUUUUUCCCCUCAAUGGUCCCUUUUGAUUCUAAAUGCCAUGACUCUUUUCUCAAAGUAGAGGAUUAGAUACAACAUUUUGGAGAUAAAUGGAUCAUUUAAUAGUUACCCGCUCAGUCAUCCAACAAACAUUUAAUGAGACCUACCACAUGUCAGCCACAGUGCUAGGUAAUGGAUAGAAUAACAAACAAAACAGACGUAGCUCCUGCCUUCAUGGAACUUCUAGUCUAGUAUAAGACUGUUUGGAAGAAUUUCCUCAUCUCAGAUAAAGAAGUUCCAGGGCUCCAAGGGGAACAUCGUUAGUGAAAAGAACUAUGUCAGGCAUGUAAUAGGUGCUCAAAUAUUUGCUAAAUGAAUAAAUCAAUACAAGCAACUGAAGGAAGAUCUGGCAGUGAGUGACCCUAGAGUUGGGAGCAGUUCUUUGGAGUCCAUAAAGACCGUGGGAGCUCUGGCAAAGUGUGUGUUUAAUUGCUAAACAAUUUGUUUGUUCAGACACCUGUGGAUGGGAGGAUCUGCCCCUACCUGCCCGGUUCUCAAGGUGGCCGCUGACUGGGAACAACGAUGGCUUCACUUGCCAGGUCUUUUCAUAGAGGUGGAGUCUGUGCAGAUGCUGGAACCCAAGGGAAGAAGGGAAAAGUGGCCAGAGAAAAAUGCCAGUGUUGGUAUGACAUUUGGACCAAGCCCAGAGGAUCCUUAGAGAUUGUGGGGUCUCAUCUGUAUCCUGUCAGAGAGAGAACUGAGGCCCAGCUGGGAUGUGUGGCCACAAAAGAAGUCGGCUCUAAGCCAUGCCAGGAUGCUGCACAGUAAGGUGGAAAGAACCAGGGCUUAGGAGUUGGAGAAUACUUGGAUUUGAAGGCUCUGGAUCCUUGCAUAAAUCGCUUAAUCUCUCUGAAUCAGCUUUCUCAUCUGUUGAAGAGACAUCACAGUGGUGGCAUGUGGAAGAUGUCAUGAGGUAUAAUGUGUCUCGGGAACCUAAAAUCAUGACCCAGGACUCACUAUAGACCUCAUAAUUGGUAUUUAUAAUUAUUACAUUAUUAGGACUCAGGUCCUGUUCUGUGCAAUGUUGAAAGAUAGUGAUAAGAACAAUUUUGAUGACAGAACUUAGAAGUUUGUGUAAUCUUCAUUAUAAAUGAAAUAGUGAAACAAUGCUGAGUGGAUUUAGAGAGGCUUCACUCCUUCAUUAACCAGCUAUCUGACCUUAGAUAGGCAUUUCCCCCAUCCUUGGGAUUGGUUUUCUCUUCUGUUAAAUGGGGAUCAUUUUUAUGCUCAACCUCUUCUUAUCCAUCUACUAAACAUUUAUUGAAUGCCUACUAGGAGUCAUAAUAUGCUUAGUGCUGAGGACACAGGAAGAGGACGCAGUUCCUGAUCCUAAGAAGCUUAUUACCUAGUGGGACACUAUUAAACAGGUACUUACAACAGAGAAUAGUAUGUAUAGAGCAUAGUACGUAGCAGGAGCCUAUUCCUGUCUGAGUGGACAAGGAGGCUUCUUAGAGGAAGUAACAUUUAAAGCUGAGGGCUGAAGGAUGAAUAGGAUUUAACCAAGUAAAAGUAAGAAAGGAAGUGGGGAGCUGGCAAGGCACUUCAGGAAGAAGAAACUGCAUGUGCAGAGGUCAGGAGGUCAGAGGGCACAGCGGACGUGAUGAUGUGGCUAGCUGAGCAUGUCUGCGCAGUGUCAACUUUGUUGUGAACACAGGGGGAGACUACUGGGAGAUUUUAAGCCAGGGAGUUGGAGUAUGAUCACAUUUUCAUUUUAGAAAGAACACUCAGGGUUAUAUGUGCUGAUGUGAAGUUUGAUUAUGGAGAGCGGUUGGAAAAAGUCGAUUCUUUCCUCUUCCUCCAUCAUCCUCCUCUUUUCCCUGUCCACAUAAAAUGGCUCACAUAAGGUAAAAUAACCCACACAAGCAUGCCUUGUGGAAUGUCUGCCACACAGUAGGUGUCUAAUUGUCAUAUAAUUUCUCCCUUUUUAAAUGUAGCUCCUGAAAGAGAAAUCCCCUGGCAUGAAGACAAGUUGGGGCAAAAACGGUGAGGGUGUGGAUGUUUGUAUCUCUGGCUGGUGUUUGGAUUUAGGUCAGAGGAAGUUCCCCAGACAAUUCAGCCUCAACCAGUCAUCUGGGGUUUCAGGGAGGGCAGGUGAAGGUCAUAAUAUCCCCCCACUUCAGGAGGUCACUCUUCCCCAGAAUCCUGAUCUUGAAAAUGUACCAGACGUCGGCCAUCGAGUUAAUUUGUCUGAGUCUGUAUCCUCAUCUGUAAAAUGGGUAUAAGGUUACCUGUGCUGUCAGCCACAUGGGGUUGUUGUAAGAAACAGAAAGUGUGAACCACCACAAAAUAAUAUAAGAUUACAUUCAUUAAUGGCUACCCUGGGCCAGGCCUUGUUCUGUGAAGUAGGUAUUAUCAAUUAUCCCUAUUUUACUGAUUGAGGAACCAAGGGUCAGAGAGAUUAUGUGAGUCACGCAUGGGCACAGAAUAAGUGGCUAUAGCUGGAGUGCUGGCAUUUCAACCACAACACUGUGACACCAUGACUUGUUCUCCCUUGAAAACCACCUCCUGCUCCCUGAUCUCCUAGCAUGAUGCAGGUACUCCAGAAAUGAGUAUAGAAAGAUGGAAAAAGGAAGGAAAGGGGUAGUGUCUGGAGUCUGAGAAAGUUUUUUCAGAUGCCUCCCCACUUCUCACCCCACCAUCUUAGGGUUUUCUCCCAGAUGCACUCUUGGGAAAUGUCUCAGGGCAUCCUAUUAAAAUGUCCCAUUACCUGUCUGACUCCUCACUAGAUGGGGACUCCUGGGGGCAGGGACUGUGUCUGGUUCCCCUAUCCCAAGGGUCUAGUGCAAUGGCUGCCACUCAAUAAAUAUUUGUAAAUGAAUUCCUCCUGUCACGGUCUGAAUUUUCUGCCCACACUCUCCUCUUGGCCAACAGGCCUAAAAGCAAAAAAGCUUGAAAGUCUUCCAAGGUCACUUGGGUGCAUAUGAUGGAGGCCCAGCAAGAGGUCAGUGUGCCGCCCUGGGGCAAGCCUGCAGGAUGAACCCAGAGGACUGGAGUGCCCUGCUUCAUCCAGCUCAUUUUCCCCAUCGGACCUCACACAGAGUCCACGUGUUAUGUUGCAUGAGGACCCCUAAGGACUUGCUGAGUGGUUCUGGGUGCUCAAGUCACUGUACCUGCAGGGUGUCUUUAGCUGGGGCCCACCUGACUGAUUGGCUGGUCGAUGAGUGGCCUGAGAACCAGAACUAGCCACCUCCGGCACAUUGAGCAACCGGCUUCCUUCCUCACCCCCGGGCAGGAGCUGGGUCAGGGAAAGUGAAGAAACCCGUUUGGGGCCUCAGAGGGUGGGCGUGGGUGGGGCCUUGCCGGGCAAAGAGGUAACUGGACUAGUUUCCUUUGCUCCAGGACCGGAUGCAAAGCCGGGACUGAGGCGGAGGCAGGAGAAAUACGCACCCUGGGUGCACCUGUAAGUCCGCCAGGACUACAUUGGUUUUGGCUACGACAUGACUAGGGGCUCUGGGUCGGUGAUCGCUGGGCGUGGGGCUUCCUGCUGCUAAAUCCGGCGAGUGAGCCGGCCGGGCGGCGUUGAAUGACCUGACGGAUGGAGCUGGAAGAGGCUUUGGCAAUCCAGCGGGCAGGCGAAGGACACCGCGGGAAGGGGUGGUGCCUGGAAACACAGCAGGGCAGUCGCGCCGCUCCCCUGCUCUCGCCAGCAUGCUUUCUUUUCCUGGCCUCUGCAGCUCCUCCGGGCUCUGCGGUAGCAUGAAAGGCACCCAGGACAGAUUUGUGUUUGAAUCCAAGCUUUUCCACCUACACUCUUUUUUCUUGGGCGAGUGACUUCUAUCUGACCCAGAGUUUUCCCAGACCAAAGUGGGAAGACAUUGCCUACCCCAAAGCGUUGUGGGAAUCAAAGUCAAUGAAAUGACAUAGGAAAGGUGCCUAGCACAUAGCAGGUGCUCAGCAAAGCGGGGUUCCCUUUCCCUUUGUUUAGCCCCGGAUCUCACUCCCAGCCCUGAUGUCGUACCUCAAAGGCAGCCCUAGGACGGUGGGGUAUGGGAGGCAGGACGCCUGGCCUGGCAAUAACUCAUUUGAAGCAUUAAUGGGAUGGGGGCGAGUGGGCAGAUUCCGAAGGCUGCCUUUGGAACGCGUUUCUGUGACCCUAGGAGGGAAUUUCAAUGCAUUCUUCCGUUCACGUAUUUAUUCACAGAUUCCUAUCAGGCGAAGGCCGCCUUUCCUGGCCUCCCCCCAGGCCCGCCAGGGAUUCGUCCUUACAAGGCCAGCCUCCACCGUCUGCCCUCUGUGUAAAUAAAGCCACAGCCUUCCGCCUACAGGUCGCCGCAGGUCCCGCCAGCAGCGCCGAGCCGUGGGGGAGGCAGGAACCCGUGCCACCGCCGCUGCGCAGUCCUCCGGAGGCUCGGAGCCGGCCACGCCCCAGCCCUCGCGCUGAGCCCGGGAGCCCGGGAGGAGCAGGAGGGAGAAAUCCAGGCUCAGACCGUCGGCCCACCCGUGAGCACCCUUCUUCACUGAUAACUCUGCACGUGGCAGGCCCUAGACAGACAGCAGCCCGAAUCUUCCCAGAAACCCUGCAGGGAGAUUCCUUCUUCCUAUAUCAUAGAAGGGAGGCUGAGGCUCGGCACGUUUAAAUGGCUUGACGAAGGUCCCACAGGCAAAAAAUAUAUAAAUAAAUAAUAAUUUUUAAAAAUGGUACAGCAAGAUAUUGUAACCCAAUGUGUCUGGCUGCAAAACCCAGUCUUUCCCCAUGCAACCUGUUGUCACCGAGACUGUAAAACUACUAACCGGGAAGAAUCAAAUGCACGGCGAGUUACAGGUUAACAGCCCGACAGGAGCGGAAAAGGACCCUGCAGCGCUUCCUUGGGGGUGUCACAUAGGACACCUAGAACCACAGAGGAACCGCAGGCGAAUUUUCUUGGCUGAUGGGUUUACUCCUUUUUGCAUGAAAGCAUACAGUUCCUUAUUAAAACAAACAAUGGUUGAUUA